UACGUAGGGGCUAGCGUUGUCCGGAUUUAUUGGGCGUAAAGAGCGUGUAGGCGGCCAGGUAGGUCUGGUGUGAAAACUCGAGGCUUAACCUCGAGAUGUCAUCGGAAACCAUCUGGCUAGAGUCCGGAAGAGGAGAGUGGAAUUCCUGGUGUAGCGGUGAAAUGACGCAGAUAUCAGGAAGAACACCAAUGGCGAAAGCAGCUCUCUGGGACGGUACUGACGCUGAGACGCGAAAGCUAGGGGAGCGAACAGG
rnacentral:rRNA from 1 species